UUAUAAUAAGCGUCAGAACCUACCUACUACACAAGCAUUUCUCCACUCUAGUCUUACUUCAGCUUUGCUCGACAAAGCCCUAAGGCAAUCCUUGGGUGUACAAAUGAAGCAACUAUAUCAUCCAUAUAAAUUCUAAUUAUAGGAACAUCUUCUAAAUGGCGGCUUCAUUAAUCCAAAUGGAGCAAUGAUCUUCAAUGUGGUGAAACAUGUACAACCCUCAAAACGAUGAAGGUCGAUUUUGACAAUCAAUGCAAACAUCAUUCUUACGCAAUUUCUGAUAAAUAUGAUCAAAAGGUCAAAUAAAACAAUAAUCCAUAAAAAGUUGACAUUCAAAUG
rnacentral:lncRNA from 1 species